GCCCGCGUACCGGUCCCGCCUUCUAAGCGGGUAGCCGUAAUGGAUUGAUGCAGGUUCGAUUCCUGCGGCGGGCUCCA
rnacentral:tRNA from 1 species